CUACGGGUCGCACCAGUGGGGAAUAUUGCACAAUGGGCGCAAGCCUGAUGCAGCCAUGCCGCGUGUAUGAAGAAGGCCUUCGGGUUGUAAAGUACUUUCAGCGGGGAGGAAGGGAGUAAAGUUAAUACCUUUGCUCAUUGACGUUACCCGCAGAAGAAGCACCGGCUAACUCCGUGCCGAGCAGCCGCGGUAAUACGGAGGGUGCAAGCGUUAAUCGGAAUUACUGGGCGUAAAGCGCACGCAGGCGGUUUGUUAAGUCAGAUGUGAAAUCCCCGGGCUCAACCUGGGAACUGCAUCUGAUACUGGCAAGCGUGAGUCUCGUAGAGGGGGGUAGAAUUCCAGGUGUAGCGGUGAAAUGCGUAGAGAUCUGGAGGAAUACCGGUGGCGAAGGCGGCCCCCUGGACGAAGACUGACGCUCAGGUGCGAAAGCGUGGGGAGCAAACAGGAUUAGAUACCCCAGUAGUC
rnacentral:rRNA from 1 species